rnacentral:rRNA from 1 species
GUCUUUUUGAAAUUAAUUUAAAGUUUAAUCUGCCCACUGAAUUUAUUUUUAAAGGGCUGCAGUAUAUUGACUGUACAAAGGUAGCAUAAUAAAUAGUCUUUUGAUUGAAGACUUGUAUGAAUGAUUUGAUGAGGUAUAAACUGUCUCUUCAUUAAAUAUAGAAAUUAAUUUUUUAGUUAAAAAGCUAAAAUGUAUAUAAAAGACGAGAAGACCCUAUAGAGUUUAAUAAUUUUUUUUAUUUUAACAUUAUGUAAAAUUUUAAGUUAAAAUAAAAGAAAUUAUUUUGUUGGGGUGAUAGAAAAAUUUGAUAAACUUUUUUUAAAAAAUUAACAUUAAUAUAUGAAUUUUUGAUCCAUAAUUUAUGAUUAUAAGAUUAAAUUACCUUAGGGAUAACAGCGUAAUUUUUUUUUUUAGUACAAAUAAAAAAAAAAGUUUGCGACCUCGAUGUUGGAUUAAGAUAAAAUAUAAAUGCAAAAGUUUAAAAUUUUGAUCUGUUCGAUCAUUAAAAUCUU